GUGAUUUAAAUGUGAAAUUAAUGUCAUGUUAAUUUGCAGGAACUUGAUUGUUUACCCGAAUGGAAACAAAGACAAAGGUAUUACAGACCAUAUUUCCGUGUACUUGGCGAUGACACAAGUAGAGUCUCUCAAUCCCGGUUGGGAGAUUCAUGCAAAUUUUCGAUUGUUUUUGCUUGAUCAAAAUAAAGACAAUUAUUUUACACUUGAAGGUAUAGCUACCUACGCCUACCUAUUAAAUUUGAAAUUUAUUGAAGUUGGUUUAAUUAAUCGUGUGAUAAUCGAAUGAAACAGAUGAUGUUGGGAAACGGUUUCACAAAAUGAAGCUCGAGUAUGGGUUCGAUAAAUUUGUACCUCUCAGCCUCUUCAACGAUCCCGCAAAGGGAUAUCUGGUGAAUGACACUUGCGUGCUUGGAGUUGAGGUUUAUGUUACUCAAGAGAAACUCACUGGAAAGGGGGAGAUUUUGUCAAUGUUCAAAAAUGCCAUUAGCUACAAACACACUUGGAAAAUCGACAAUUUCUCCAAUUUAACUGACGAAUAUCUAGACUCCAAACCAUUCAAUGCUGCAAAUCAAACAUGGUAUACAUCUUUUUUAAUCAAACUCCAUUACAUCUCGACUAUUUUUCAUGAUAUGUAAAAGUAAGAUUCGUGGAUGCAGGAAGAUACAAUUAUAUCCGAAAGGGAUAGGCACUGGAAAGGACAACUAUAUAUCGUUAUAUCUGGCAUUGGCUGAACCUGAAAAACUUUCUCCUACAACUAAGAUAUACACAGAAUAUAGGUUACGUAUAUUAGACCAAAUUAAUGGAAUACACGACUCUGGUACAGGUAAAUCACGACGCAUAUAAUAUUGGCAUUGCGAAGAAUCAAAAAACCUCCCAAGAUAAGCACAAACAGUUCAAAAAAUAAUUCGUCUUUAUGUGCUUUUGCAGCUAAUCACUGGUACAGUGCAUCAAAUAGUUUAUCGGGUUGGCAAAGAUUUGCGCCUAUGAGUUCUUUUUAUAAGAAAUCGGCUGGUUUUCUGGUGAACAACAGCUGCAUUGUGGAAGCAGAGGUUACAGUCAAUGGCAUGGCUAAUGCACUUUGAGAACGCACUUCUACAUUGAAGUAAAGGAUACUGCUUAAUAAAUAUUUUCCUUUUUCAUGAAAUAAAAAGGGAAAUUGGUAGUCAUACUGCAAUAGAUCUUCAGUAUAAUUGUUGUGUGACAUGCUAAUUUACCACUACGUUAUGUAAUAAAAGUUUUGAAAUAAGAAAGUACAAGAUAUGGUCAUAGCCCUCAUUUUAUGAUUUUUCGCCUUUUAUUA
rnacentral:lncRNA from 1 species